rnacentral:rRNA from 1 species
GAUGAACGCUGGCGGCGUGCCUAAUACAUGCAAGUCGAGCGAACAGACGAGGAGCUUGCUCCUCUGACGUUAGCGGCGGACGGGUGAGUAACACGUGGAUAACCUACCUAUAAGACUGGGGUAACUUCGGGAAACCGGAGCUAAUACCGGAUAAUAUAUUGAACCGCAUGGUUCAAUAGCGAAAGACGGUUUUGCUGUCACUUAUAGAUGGAUCCGCGCCGCAUUAGCUAGUUGGUAAGGUAACGGCUUACCAAGGCAACGAUGCGUAGCCGACCUGAGAGGGUGAUCGGCCACACUGGAACUGAGACACGGUCCAGACUCCUACGGGAGGCAGCAGUAGGGAAUCUUCCGCAAUGGGCGAAAGCCUGACGGAGCAACGCCGCGUGAGUGAUGAAGGUCUUCGGAUCGUAAAACUCUGUUAUUAGGGAAGAACAAAUGUGUAAGUAACUAUGCACGUCUUGACGGUACCUAAUCAGAAAGCCACGGCUAACUACGUG